rnacentral:rRNA from 1 species
UGGGGAAUAUUGCACAAUGGGCGAAAGCCUGAUGCAGCAACGCCGCGUGAGUGAUGAAGGCCUUCGGGUUGUAAAGCACUUUUGUCCGGAAAGAAAUCCUUGGCUCUAAUACAGUCGGGGGAUGACGGUACCGGAAGAAUAAGCACCGGCUAACUACGUGCCAGCAGUCGCGGUAAUACGUAGGGUGCAAGCGUUAAUCGGAAUUACUGGGCGUUAAAGCGUGCGCAGGCGGUUUGCUAAGACCGAUGUGAAAUCCCCGGGCUCAACCUGGGAACUGCAUUGGUGACUGGCAGGCUAGAGUAUGGCAGAGGGGGGUAGAAUUCCACGUGUAGCAGUGAAAUGCGUAGAGAUGUGGAGGAAUACCGAUGGCGAAGGCAGCCCCCUGGGCCAAUACUGACGCUCAUGCACGAAAGCGUGGGGAGCAAACAGGAUUAGAUACCCCUGGUAGUCCACGCCCUAAACGAUGUCAACUAGUUGUUGGGGAUUCAUUUCCUUAGUAACGUAGCUAACGCGUGAAGUUGACCGCCUGGGGAGUACGGUCGCAAG